rnacentral:lncRNA from 1 species
GCCAUGAAUUGUGGACUUGGAUGUCAAGGUCGCCCUGCCCGGGCUGGUUGUAGGCUCCGUUGCAGUAGGCGCAGUGGAUGAAGGCCUGCUGCAUGAAGCUGCGGGGGUCGUCUUCGGGAAGUUUCUUCAUGCGCUCGAUCGCCAGGUUGUACUUGAAGGCCUCCGUUGGCGUGAGGCGGUGGGCGGAUUUGCGGGUUCGCAGGUUAUAGACGGGCGGAAGCUGGUAGUCGAUGAUGUUGCCCGUGAUCGGUGGGCAGCAGUUGAUGUCCAGCUGCUCGCCGGUGUUCAGGUUGGUGGCGGUGCCGCAUUUGUCCAGCUCCGGUGCUUGCACAGGGUUGGCGGAUGCUACCUCGGUGGAGAUCAGGUUGGUUGCGCCGUAGAGGCCGCCCAGACCGAGGAGGACGUUGCGGCGGUCGAGUUUGCCUUGGGAAUCGGAGUCGCUUUGGUUUGGGCUGGCGGAGGCCGAGACGCGGAGGGGGUAGCGGUGGUUCCGCCUUGCAUGGGAGAGGAAAGGUGUGGGCUUGGGAUAGGAGAGGGUGGGGUUUGGAAUGGGGAGGGGCGGGGGAGGAGGAGGCGGUGGUGGUGCAAUGAAGGUAGAGGGAAGCCAUGGAUGGUUGCCUGGGAUGGAUUUUUACGUAGAAGUUGUAGCUUCUUUAUAGUGGAGAGAUGGAGAGUAGCCCAUAUUGUGUAUUAAAGUGGGGGUAGGUAU